rnacentral:rRNA from 1 species
GUGGGGAAUAUUGCGCAAUGGGGGAAACCCUGACGCAGCUAUGCCGCGUGGGUGAUUGAAGGCCUUCGGGUCGUAAAGCCCUGUCGUGGGGGAAGAAGUUCUGACGGUACCCCACAAGAAAGCACCGGCUAACUCCGUGCCAGCAGCCGCGGUAAUACGGAGGGUGCGAGCGUUGCUCGGAAUCACUGGGCGUAAAGCGUACGCAGGCUGGACGUUAAGUCGGGCGUGAAAGCCCGGGGCUCAACCCCGGAAUUGCACCCGAAACUGGCGACCUGGAGUACGGGAGAGGGAAGCGGAAUUCCUGGUGUAGAGGUGAAAUUCGUAGAUAUCAGGAGGAACAUCAGUGGCGAAAGCGGCUUCCUGGCCCGAUACUGACGCUCAUGUACGAAAGCGUGGGUAGCAAACAGGAUUAGAAACCCGAGUAGUCC